CCAGCAGCUGCGGUAAUUCCAGCUCCAAUAGCGUAUAUUAAAGUUGUUGCAGUUAAAACGCUCGUAGUCUGAUGUAAUGGGGACUGGUGUGGGGAGCAGCAAUGCUCUUCGCAUCGGUCCUCAUCAACGGGACAGCAAUGUCCCAUUUUACUUUGAGGAAAUUAGAGUGUUCAAAGCAGGCGAUUGCUUGAAUACUGCAGCAUGGAAUAAUGGAAUAGGACUCGCGUCUUAUUUUGUUGGUUUGGAGAUGUGAGUAAUGAUGAAUAGGGACAGUUGGGGGCAUUGGUAUUCAGUAGUCAGAGGUGAAAUUCUUGGAUUUAUUAAAGACUAACUUAUGCGAAAGCAUUUGCCAAGGAUGUUUUCAUUAAUCAAGAACGAAAGU
rnacentral:rRNA from 1 species